UACAGAGGUCCCAAGCGUUGUUCGGAUUCAUUGGGCGUAAAGGGUGCGUAGGCGGCGCGGUAAGUCGGGUGUGAAAUUUCGGAGCUUAACUCCGAAACUGCAUUCGAUACUGCCGUGCUUGAGGACUGGAGAGGAGACUGGAAUUUACGGUGUAGCGGUGAAAUGCGCAGAUAUCAGGAGGAACACCGGUGGCGAAGGCGGGUCUCUGGGCCGAUACUGACACUGAGGAGCGAAAGCGUGGGGAGCGAACAGG
rnacentral:rRNA from 1 species